AGAAGCUCUGGCGACGAAUGGACGCAGUGGGAGCCGGAAAACGAACUAUGAACAUUCGGUUCUCCGAUCUCGUUACCGGCGGCGAUCCUCGUGGCGGUGGCGGAACCAGGAGAUGGAGGCCAUCAGCACGUCGAGCAUCCGAGCCGGAGACAAAACUGCGGUUUUGCAUAAAACCGUGGACGAGAACGUCCGAGCCGGAGACAAAACUGCGGUUUUGCAUAAAACCGUGGACGAGAACGUCCGAGCCGGAGACAAAACUGCGGUUUUGCAUAAAACCGUGGACGAGAACGUCCGAGCCGGAGACAAAACUGCGGUUUUGCAUAAAACCGUGGACGAGAACGUAGAGCAAGCCUCCGGCAGUCAUCAAAGCAAUCGAUGCCAAAUCAACAGUCACAUUGUGACUAUGAUUGUGAUUGAGAUUGAAUUCUUUGUACUCCAGCUUGUGGAUGAUGUUCCAAAACCCCAUGAUACACAACGAAAAUGGAACUAGGUUUCACAUCAAGCCCUAAUUCCCGAG
rnacentral:lncRNA from 1 species